rnacentral:rRNA from 1 species
CGCAUCUGUGCAUGCAGCAUAUCAAUAAGCGGAGGAAAAGAAACUAACAAGGAUUCCCUUAGUAACGGCGAGUGAAGCGGGAAGAGCUCAAAUUUGAAAUCUUCAAGGUUUUACCUUGACGAAUUGUAGUUUAAAGAAGUGUUUUCUGUUGAAGUUUUGGUAAAAGUUCUUUGGAAUAGGACAUCAUAGAGGGUGAGAAUCCCGUAUUUGACCAUUAUUUUCAGCUGUGUGAUACACUUUCAAAGAGUCGGAUUGUUUGGGAAUGCAGUCCAAAAUGGGUGGUAAAUUUCAUCUAAAGCUAAAUAUUGGCGAGAGACCGAUAGCGAACAAGUACCGUGAGGGAAAGAUGAAAAGAACUUUGAAAAGAGAGUUAAACAGUACGUGAAAUUGUCAAAAGGGAAGCGUUUGACACCAGUGUUGUUUUCUCGAAAAUCAAUUAAAAAGAGUUUGAUUUUGUUGUGUAUUGACCUUAACAGCUUGCAUUUCAAUUUUCUUGCUUUUUUUAAUGCACUUUUCGUUUAACAAGUCAACAUCAGUUUCUUUUGUUGUAAAAGGGUCAUUGGAAGGUGGCUUUCUCUUCGGAGAAAGUGUUUAUAGCCUUUGAUCUCUGCAAUCGGAGAGACUGAGGUCUGCAGCGUAGAUCCUUCGGGGUUAGAUACAUUUGUGCUAAGUUAUAGCUUUUUAUAGACAACUUGUUGACUAUGAUUAGUCUUGUAGCUUACUCGCUUAUGCUAUUUUACCUACGCUUAGGAGUUGACGCGCGUGUGUGCGUG